CAUAAACUAGCCUCACCCCUUAUAAUAUUCACUUGGGUCAAUUUAAUUUAGCAUACUAAGGGGCCCCUAUUGGACCAAGAUUAGCACCUGUCAUCGAUAUGAUUAUCUUAUAUGAAAUUGAAACCUCAUAAGUUGUUCCAUGUGCAUCGAUCGCUAUGAUGAACGGUAGGGAAGGGGGAAAUGGAUGAUGUUGAUUUGCAAAAUAUGUGGCUCAUCAGAAGAGGGUUCCUAAUCUCCAUGUGCAUAAUGACGUGUUCACAUGCAAAUUAAUGCCAAUAAUCAUUUUCUUCAUGUUCUGUGGUGCAUGUAGCCAUUACGGUGCUCCUUAUUGUAACAGUUUUUACUCUAACUUGAGGCUGGUGGUCCAACUAAUUGGGCUGGGCUUGGGAUAGGUUGAAGAAGAUGAUCAGGCGCUCUCUCCCUCAGAAAUUAGCAUACGUCGUUUUUCGGUACUCUCUUUCUGAUCCCACGUCCACAUGCGCCUCUCUCAGAAAUUAGCAUACGUCCUGUCUGAUCCCACGUCCACAUGCGCCCGGAUCACGUGAUUCAUCGAAGUAAGCUCCACUUGAAUUCGGGUAUGCCAGUGAAUGAAAAAAAUUUGUUAUAUCCUGCGCUGUCCCCUUAUUUCUUAUCGGUUAAACUAAACGUGAAGAAGAGGCAUAUUUCUAGUUUGUGCGUGAAUUUAAUAUAACCCUCCUCCUUCACCAUUUCUGGAUCGGAUAGUAUUAGAUUCACGCACAAACUCGUGAUAUAUCUUUUCUUUUACAUUGCAAGAUUUCAGCUUUCUUUCUGUAGGCGCCGAUUUGUCUGUUUGGAGGAGUCUGAAUUAUUGUAGCAACCGAGAAGAAUUGGGUGAGCCUGCUCUCUGAAAUGCCCGUACACAAGAUCUUCAAAAUGCCUAGGAGGGCUCUGAAGUGUAUAAAGCAUGGCUUCGCAGCUGAGCAUAAAAACCUUUUUGUUUCUGUUUUCGGUUCUUGAUUUUGACUCAUCAGAAUAAGGUAUUCCAUUCAAAACUUCUUGUUGAAUUGUGACAAGCACUUGCAAUAUGCCAGGCUAAAUUGGAUUCCACGUCUGUUUUUUGUGGGAAUUCCAUAAGAGGUCAAGGGAGAGCCUCUUAUCUCUUUUGAAGAAGAUUUCUGGAGGAUGGGGAUGUGGUUUGUGAAAGAAGAUUUCAGGAGGCUGGGCUGGAUAACUGCUGGGAAUGAAUAUGUCAAAAAAGAACAGACCAUGACAAAAAGGGGUACCUUCUAAACCAUCUAUAUCAGCUCUCAUGAGAUUAAUUCUUUCUCCAUAAGCUCUAACAAAAAUUGAACUUGGGAGAGAAGUCUUUAAAACUUCCCAUUCCUUCCUUUUGGCUAGUCUUUGUAUAUUUAUGGGUUUAGUUUUAAAGCCAAUGAAGUGAUGAUCAAAGGGGGGACAUAGCUCCAUAUCGAAGCUCUUAAACUUCUUAAACCGUUUCUCAACCAAGUCAAUUAUCUCCUCAAUCUCCCCAAACUUAGCUAUGAUAUGAGUAUUUGGUUUGACGAAACUUGAAUCAACAAGACAGUUCAGUUAGGAGGAUUUGGGUUUACAAUAUAGUAGAACUUCAACUCUAAUUAAAUCAAGAUGACUAGUAUCUAAUUGUAACUAUAUUGAAUCAAAAUCAGAUAGAAAAGCAAAUGAAAGAUGAAUUCUAAUGAGAAAAUAAAUUAGAAUCA